GUAGGGAAUUUUCGGCAAUGGGGGAAACCCUGACCGAGCAACGCCGCGUGAGUGAUGAAAGUCUUCGGAUUGUAAAGCUCUGUUAUAAGGGAAGAACGUCCCUGAUAGAAUCGGGGAGUGACGGUACCUUAUCAGAAAGCUACGGCUAACUACGUGCCAGCAGUCGCGGUAAUACGUAGGUAGCGAGCGUUAUCCGGAAUUAUUGGGCGUAAAGGGUGCGUAGGCGGCUUGUUAAGUUUAAGGUGAAAGCGUGGGGCUCAACCCCAUAAAGCCUUAGAUACUGACAAGCUAGAGUACUGGAGAGGGUAGUGGAAUUCCAUGUGUAGCGGUAAAAUGCGUAGAUAUAUGGAGGAACACCGGUGGCGAAGGCGGCUACCUAGACAGAGACUGACGCUGAUGCACGAAAGCGUGGGGAGCAAAUAGGAUUAGAUACCCUUGUAGUCC
rnacentral:rRNA from 1 species